UGCUGAAGGAGGCUGGUGCUGGCAACGGCUGCAGGUGAUGACUGCUGAAAGAAGAGGAGGCUGGAGGCUGCUGACGGUGGACCGGGAAUGGAGAUGCCAAGUACAUCGAUGGCAACGAGUCAUGGCAUGAGGGAAGGUUGCUGUCCAGCAACAUGGCUUCUUGUUCCAGCUGUGACACUGCAUUUGAGGACUCCAUGAGGGAAUCGCUCGUCCUCACACGGAACAGCUGCUCCACGUUCUGAACAAGGGUGAAAACCUCAUCAGAUGGACGUUGCCUCAUUAGAUCCUCCACGUGAGCCCGGUCACAACUGGCCCUUGGCAGUCUGGUCCCUGGAGCACCUGA